UAGUUAAACCCCAUUUUCACAUCUAUCUAUCUAUCUAUCUGUUGAUAAAAUAAGCUUUUGCCUAUACUCGUGUUAACCUUUGGGAAAAAAAUUUCACCUAUUCCUUACCUAAAUCUGUCAAUUGAUUUUUUUUUACAUCAAUGUCAUCCAAUGGCUCAAGUCUAAACUUCUGAGAGAAACUUCUCUCCUCAAGUCACCUCUUUUAUAUUUCUCUUCAUCUAAAUCCCUUGUGUUGGGAGAAAAAACAUCUGCUUCAUCCAUAACCUUCUUCUCUCUUCUUUAUUUUUUCUUUCAUCACAUUUCUGAACUACUACUCAACAUGUCUCUGCCUGAAAAAAUUGUGUCUCUCUUCUUCUCCAUUGGCUCAAUCUUCAACAAAGCUGAACAUUGUGUAGGAUUGGUUUCGAAGCACCGUUGAAACUGAAAGGGUGUGUCUUGGCUUGGGAUUUGAAAUUCAUUGGCUUGGUUUUGGCUUUUGCCUUUUCUCUAUAAAAUUGUGUGUUAUUCGGAUUUAAAUUACUCCACGAAGUUGACAGUGCAUUUAUUACAAACAGGAAAUCAAAAGGGGAAAUGAAUAAAAGAUAAAAUAUCUGUA